rnacentral:rRNA from 1 species
UGAAAAGCCUCUAAGCUUCAGAUCACAUUGGACCGUACCGUAAACCGACACUGGUGGGUGAGCAGAUAAUCUGCCAAGGCGCUUGAGAGAACUCGGGUUAAGGAACUCUGCAAAUUGAUACCGUAACUUCGGAAGAAGGUAUGCCUUCGACGGUGUAGGGAUUUACUCCCGAAGCUGUUGAAGGUCGCAGGUAAUCGGUGGCUGCGACUGUUUAUCAAAAACACAGGACUCUGCGAACACGCAAGUGGAAGUAUAGGGUCUGACGCCUGCCCGGUGCCGGAAGGUUAAUUGAUGGGGUUAGCCGCAAGGCGAAGCUCUUGAUCGAAGCCCCGGUAAACGGCGGCCGUAACAAUAACGGUCCUAAGGUAGCGAAAUUCCUUGUCGGGUAAGUUCCGACCUGCACGAAUGGCGUAACGCUGGCCACACUGUCUCGACCCGAGACUCAGUGAAGUUGAAAUCGCUGUGAAGAUGCGGCGUUCCCGCGGCAAGACGGAAAGACCCCGUGAACCUUCACUACAGCUUUACACUGAACUUUGAACCUUUCUGUGUAGGAUAGGUGGGAGGCUAUGAAACUUGGGCGCUAGCUCGAGUGGAGCCAACCUUGAAAUACCACCCUGGGAUGUUUGAAGUUCUAACCUUGGUCCGUAAUCCGGAUUGGGGACAGUGUAUGGUGGGUAGUUUGACUGGGGCGGUCUCCUCCCAAAGAGUAACGGAGGAGUGCAAUGGUACGCUCAGCGCGGUCGGUCAUCGCGCUCUAGAGUGCAAAGGCAUAAGCGUGCUUAACUGUGAGACAGACACGUCGAACAGGUACGAAAGUAGGUCUUAGUGAUCCGGUGGUUCUGUAUGGAAGGGCCAUCGCUCAACGGAUAAAAGGUACUCCGGGGAUAACAGGCUUAUUCCUCCCAAGAGUCCACAUCGACGGAGGAGUUUGGCACCUCGAUGUCGGCUCAUCACAUCCUGGGGCUGUAGCAGGUCCCAAGGGUAUGGCUGUUCGCCAUUUAAAGUGGUACGCGAGCUGGGUUCAGAACGUCGUGAGACAGUUCGGUCCCUAUCUGCCGUGGGCGUUGGAAACUUGAGGGUGAGCUGUCCUUAGUACGAGAGGACCGGGAUGCACGUAUCUCUGGUGUUCCGGUUGUCACGCCAGUGGCACUGCCGGGUAGCUAUAUACGGACGGGAUAAGCGCUGAAAGCAUCUAAGCGCGAAGCCCCCCCCAAGAUUAGGUUUCCCUGGGAACUCGAUUCCCCUAAAGGGCCGUCGGAGACUACGACGUUGAUAGGCUGGGUGUGUAAGUGCAGCAAUGCAUUGAGCUAACCAGUACUAAUUGCCCGUGAGGCUUGACU